ensembl:lncRNA
ACAUUUAAUGCUCACCAUAUGUCUUCCCUAGUCAAUUUGGUUGUCUGAAGCUCAUUCCCUUGGUGUGGCGGGGGGGGGGGGGGGGGGGUGUUCUUAAUUACUUUUUUCUUUAUUGCCACCACUAGCAAUAGUCCUUGUUUUUGGCCAGUUUGCUGGGUCGAGCACUCAAAGUGAAGUGCUCUUCUGUUAUUUUCAGAACUGAGUAAAGAUUUUCCAAGGGAGAAAUAAAUGUGGGCUUCAGAAUUUUUCAAAAAGAAUGCAGGUCACCCUGAGAGUUUUUCAACCUGCUUAAAAAAAAAAAAUCCAACUAACCUGUGAGAAAGAAUGUUACAUCCUGUUUGGAGCUUUGUAUAUUUUUGUAAAAGGCCGGACUUCUUCAAAAAGAAGGUUGACAGAGGCGUUCCCCUCAUGGGGCAGCAGAAACGAAUCCGACUAGGAACCGUGAGAUGGUGGGUUCAAUCCUUGGCCUUGCUCAAGGGGUUAAGGAUCUAGCGAUGCUGGGAGCUGUGGUGUAGAUCUCAGAAGCGGCUCAGAUCUGGCAUUGCUGUGGCUGUGGUGUAAGCCCGCGGCUACAGCUCGGAUUAGACCCCUAGCCUGCGAUCCUCCAUAUGCUGAGGGUGUGGCCCUAAAAAGAUAAAAAUAAAAACAAAUAGAAAUAAAGAAGGGAUUCAGGAAGAGGAAUUGGAGGGACCUAUUCUCUCCCUUUAAAUUAGGGGUCAAGAUAUGUGAGAAACUCAUGCUCCCCUCCAACGCUGUCAGGGACUUUUCUCUCAAGCUGAGAAAUCCACCCACGACUUGUGAACUGAGGUGACUGGGGUGCGCGGGGUGGGGUCGGUGAUAGGGGUAAGAGUGAUUUGGUAGAAUUUGGAUUUUUCCCAUGUAGCACCUAACUGGCCUCUUUCCUCUGCAGAGGGCGGAAGACCAGACUUCUCAGAAAAAGCCGUGGUUUCUAAGCAGUGGGGUUGGUUGCCAAGCCGCCUUGGUUGUCAGCGUCCUCUCCAAAAACUCCCGUAAAGCCGCGGUGGCGGCGGGGUUGUUUUUCUCCUGGUCAGACGGCGUCACAGCAGGAAGAGAAGCUGGCGCUCCACUCCAGCCCGGCCCUGCUCCCCAAGUCCUGUGGCUGCUCCUGGGGCCUCCAUCCCAGGGACCCGCUCCAUGGCCGCAGCUAAAAUGGGCAUCAGCAGUUGUGCGUCUGACCGGGUGUGUGCUGGUUUCCGGGAGGCCCUUUCCCGCCGCCAUCUGUAC